rnacentral:rRNA from 1 species
UCCAGAGGGUGCGAGCGUUAAUCGGAAUUACUGGGCGUAAGGCGCGCGUAGGCGGCUUUGCAAGCCGGAUGUGAAAUCCCCGGGCUUAACCUGGGAACUGCAUUCGGGACUGCAUUGCUAGAGUAUGGGAGAGGGAAGUGGAAUUUCAGGUGUAGCGGUGAAAUGCGUAGAUAUCUGAAGGAACAUCAGUGGCGAAAGCGACUUCCUGGACCAAUACUGACGCUCAUGUGCGAAAGCGUGGGGAGCAAACAGG